rnacentral:rRNA from 1 species
AAAGCUUUCGCGGUAUGGGAUGGGGUCGCGUCCUAUCAGCUUGACGGCGGGGUAACGGCCCACCGUGGCUUCGACGGGUAGCCGGCCUGAGAGGGCGACCGGCCACAUUGGGACUGAGAUACGGCCCAGACUCCUACGGGAGGCAGCAGUGGGGAAUAUUGCACAAUGGGCGCAAGCCUGAUGCAGCGACGCCGCGUGAGGGAUGGAGGCCUUCGGGUUGUAAACCUCUUUUAUCGGGGAGCAAGCGAGAGUGAGUUUACCCGUUGAAUAAGCACCGGCUAACUACGUGCCAGCAGCCGCGGUAAUACGUAGGGUGCAAGCGUUAUCCGGAAUUAUUGGGCGUAAAGGGCUCGUAGGCGGUUCGUCGCGUCCGGUGUGAAAGUCCAUCGCUUAACGGUGGAUCCGCGCCGGGUACGGGCGGGCUUGAGUGCGGUAGGGGAGACUGGAAUUCCGGUGUAACGGUGGAAUGUGUAGAUAUCGGGAAGAACACCAAUGGCGAAGGCAGGUCUCUGGGCCGUUACUGACGCUGAGGAGCGAAAGCGUGGGGAGCGAACAGGAUUAGAUACCCUGGUAGUCCACGCCGUAAACGGUGGAUGCUGGAUGUGGGGCCCGUUCCACGGGUUCCGUGUCGGAGCUAACGCGUUAAGCAUCCCGCCUGGGGAGUACGGCCGCAAGGCUAAAACUCAAAGAAAUUGACGGGGGCCCGCACAAGCGGCGGAGCAUGCGGAUUAAUUCGAUGCAACGCGAAGAACCUUACCUGGGCUUGACAUGUUCCCGACGGUCGUAGA